rnacentral:lncRNA from 1 species
UAUGGUAGGGGGACUGACGUAUGUAUCAUUUCAAAUACAUGUAACAUACCAGGGGCGAAACAGGAUAUUUGCGAUCAUUUGAAAGGCAUGUAUUUCGUGGGCACCGAAUAAAUAUUGCCGAGCUUGGUGAACAGAAAGUUUAAUUCAGUUAACUUUGUUUUGCUAAAAGUAAUAUAAAUCAUAAGAAAUAUGAUAUUUUGUCUACUUUGGUGAUCAAAUUGGGGUGUUCACUUUUAGCCAUAUCCUGGGUCCGCUUCUGCAUUCAUUAACCGUUUACACGACGAUGACCUUCCAAUGACGUAAGUGACCCUUUUAAACUACAUGUAUAUUACAACACGUUGCUCAAAUCUUACAUUAACAAAAUUUUCACAAUAGUGCGAUACAAUUUCAAAUCACGUAUACUAUUUAUAACAUUAGUAAUAACCAUUCCUAAAAAUAGUACUUGCCUAAUACGGGUGUAUUGUCAAAUCUACUUAUGACGUAAAACCCAUACAUACUGUAUAUCAUAUGAUAUGACAAUAUUUUACAAUGUACAAAUCUUUAAACAUGAAUGGUAUGUGGGUCAUAUAGUAAAGGAGUUACGUACUGGUUUUACUCGAGUGUAAAAUCUUUUUAAAUGUCUGUGUAAUCGGCCUACAAACUACCUGAAUUAUAUUGUUAACUUAGAUAGAUAUAUCGUAAAUAUUUUUCAGUUUAUAAAGUAGGCGUAUAAAAUUUCGUGACCAUAAAUGUCUAUUCAUUGUUCGUUUUAGGAAAUACGCAAUGACCACACCUUACGUGUCCACUAUAGUCCAUACUACAAUUUUUUUCGAAUCAUGUGAUUUUGGUGAAAAUUGGCACAAUAUCAAAUGGACUCUCGAUUCUUUAUUUCGUAUAAAAUAUAUAAAACCGAUAGCACUCGUUAUCUAUAAUUUCGUGUUUACCAUUGUCCACAGUUUUGUUAGGCGGAUCAAUUUUUGAUAAAUUAUUAUCUUAACGUUUUACAUGUACAAAAAGAAAUCUCAUAGUAGACAUCAUUAGCAGUCCAUAAGCUCGUGUUCUGCAAAUGUUUUUUAUGUAAGAAGUAGUGUACCUUUUAGAACAUGUACUUCUUGUAUAUUUUAUAGGUGACAUUAAGAUAAGG